UACGUAGGUGGCGAGCGUUGUCCGGAAUUACUGGGUGUAAAGGGCGUGUAGGCGGGACGGUAAGUCAGAUGUGAAAUUCCGAAGCUUAACUUCGGCGCUGCAUCUGAAACUAUCGUUCUUGAGUGCUGGAGAGGAAAGCGGAAUUCCUAGUGUAGCGGUGAAAUGCGUAGAUAUUAGGAGGAACACCAGUGGCGAAGGCGGCUUUCUGGACAGUAACUGACGCUGAGGCGCGAAAGCGUGGGGAGCAAAC
rnacentral:rRNA from 1 species